rnacentral:rRNA from 2 species
GGGUUGUGAGGUUAAGCGACUAAGCGUACACGGUGGAUGCCCUGGCAGUCAGAGGCGAUGAAGGACGUGCUAAUCUGCGAUAAGCGCCGGUAAGGUGAUAUGAACCGUUAUAACCGGCGAUUUCCGAAUGGGGAAACCCAGUGUGAUUCGUCACACUAUCAUUAACUGAAUCCAUAGGUUAAUGAGGCGAACCGGGGGAACUGAAACAUCUAAGUACCCCGAGGAAAAGAAAUCAACCGAGAUUCCCCCAGUAGCGGCGAGCGAACGGGGAGGAGCCCAGAGCCUGAAUCAGCAUGUGUGUUAGUGGAAGCGUCUGGAAAGGCGCGCGAUACAGGGUGACAGCCCCGUACACAAAAGCGCAUGUGCUGUGAGCUCGAUGAGUAGGGCGGGACACGUGGUAUCCUGUCUGAAUAUGGGGGGACCAUCCUCCAAGGCUAAAUACUCCUGACUGACCGAUAGUGAACCAGUACCGUGAGGGAAAGGCGAAAAGAACCCCGGCGAGGGGAGUGAAAAAGAACCUGAAACCGUGUACGUACAAGCAGUGGGAGCCCCACCACUAAGCCAGUGGUGAACUCCACAUACGCAUCCUUUGCUGAGGAUACGGUUAACGGAGCGAAAGCGACGUUCAACCGCAAAAGAAGCAGAGGGGGCUUAGUGGUGGGGUGACUGCGUACCUUUUGUAUAAUGGGUCAGCGACUUAUAUUCUGUAGCAAGGUUAACCGCAUAGGGGAGCCGGAGGGAAACCGAGUCUUAAUUGGGCGUUAAGUUGCAGGGUAUAGACCCGAAACCCGGUGAUCUAGCCAUGGGCAGGUUGAAGGUUGGGUAACACUAACUGGAGGACCGAACCGACUAAUGUUGAAAAAUUAGCGGAUGACCUGUGGCUGGGGGUGAAAGGCCAAUCAAACCGGGAGAUAGCUGGUUCUCCCCGAAAGCUAUUUAGGUAGCGCCUCGUGAA